UACGUAGGGUGCAAGCGUUGUCCGGAAUUAUUGGGCGUAAAGAGCUCGUAGGCGGUCUGUCGCGUCGGCUGUGAAAUCCCGGAGCUCAACUCCGGGCCUGCAGUCGAUACGGGCAGACUGGAGUUCGGCAGGGGAGACUGGAAUUCCUGGUGUAGCGGUGAAAUGCGCAGAUAUCAGGAGGAACACCGGUGGCGAAGGCGGGUCUCUGGGCCGUUACUGACGCUGAGGAGCGAAAGCGUGGGGAGCGAACAGG
rnacentral:rRNA from 1 species